rnacentral:rRNA from 1 species
UGCAGUCGAGCGGUAGCACAGAGAGCUUGCUCUCGGGUGACGAGCGGCGGACGGGUGAGUAAUGUCUGGGAAACUGCCUGAUGGAGGGGGAUAACUACUGGAAACGGUAGCUAAUACCGCAUAAUGUCGCAAGACCAAAGUGGGGGACCUUCGGGCCUCAUGCCAUCAGAUGUGCCCAGAUGGGAUUAGCUAGUAGGUGGGGUAACGGCUCACCUAGGCGACGAUCCCUAGCUGGUCUGAGAGGAUGACCAGCCACACUGGAACUGAGACACGGUCCAGACUCCUACGGGAGGCAGCAGUGGGGAAUAUUGCACAAUGGGCGCAAGCCUGAUGCAGCCAUGCCGCGUGUGUGAAGAAGGCCUUCGGGUUGUAAAGCACUUUCAGCGGGGAGGAAGGCGAUAAGGUUAAUAACCUUGUCGAUUGACGUUACCCGCAGAAGAAGCACCGGCUAACUCCGUGCCAGCAGCCGCGGUAAUACGGAGGGUGCAAGCGUUAAUCGGAAUUACUGGGCGUAAAGCGCACGCAGGCGGUCUGUCAAGUCGGAUGUGAAAUCCCCGGGCUCAACCUGGGAACUGCAUUCGAAACUGGCAGGCUAGAGUCUUGUAGAGGGGGGUAGAAUUCCAGGUGUAGCGGUGAAAUGCGUAGAGAUCUGGAGGAAUACCGGUGGCGAAGGCGGCCCCCUGGACAAAGACUGACGCUCAGGUGCGAAAGCGUGGGGAGCAAACAGGAUUAGAUACCCUGGUAGUCCACGCCGUAAACGAUGUCGAUUUGGAGGUUGUGCCCUUGAGGCGUGGCUUCCGGAGCUAACGCGUUAAAUCGACCGCCUGGGGAGUACGGCCGCAAGGUUAAAACUCAAAUGAAUUGACGGGGGCCCGCACAAGCGGUGGAGCAUGUGGUUUAAUUCGAUGCAACGCGAAGAACCUUACCUGGUCUUGACAUCCACAGAACUUAGCAGAGAUGCUUUGGUGCCUUCGGGAACUGUGAGACAGGUGCUGCAUGGCUGUCGUCA